rnacentral:rRNA from 1 species
AGUGAACGCUGGCGGUAGGCCUAACACAUGCAAGUCGAACGGCAGCACAGUAAGAGCUUGCUCUUACGGGUGGCGAGUGGCGGACGGGUGAGGAAUACAUCGGAAUCUACUUUUUCGGGGGGGAUAACGUAGGGAAACUUACGCUAAUACCGCAUACGACCUACGGGUGAAAGCAGGGGAUCUUCGGACCUUGCGCGAUUGAAUGAGCCGAUGUCGGAUUAGCUAGUUGGCGGGGUAAAGGCCCACCAAGGCGACGAUCCGUAGCUGGUCUGAGAGGAUGAUCAGCCACACUGGAACUGAGACACGGUCCAGACUCCUACGGGAGGCAGCAGUGGGGAAUAUUGGACAAUGGGCGCAAGCCUGAUCCAGCCAUACCGCGUGGGUGAAGAAGGCCUUCGGGUUGUAAAGCCCUUUUGUCGGGAAAGAAAAGCAGCAGGUUAAUACCCCGCUGUUCUGACGGUACCCAAAGAAUAAGCACCGGCUAACUUCGUG